rnacentral:tRNA from 1 species
GUUUUCGUAGUGUAGUGGUUAUCACGUUUGCCUCACACGCGAAAGGCCUCCGGUUCGAACCCGAGCGAAAACA